rnacentral:rRNA from 1 species
UACGUAGGGCGCAAGCGUUGUCCGGAAUUAUUGGGCGUAAAGGGCUCGUAGGCGGUUUGUCACGUCGGGAGUGAAAACUCGGGGCUUAACUCCGAGCCUGCUUCCGAUACGGGCUGACUAGAGGUAUGCAGGGGAGAACGGAAUUCCUGGUGUAGCGGUGAAAUGCGCAGAUAUCAGGAGGAACACCAACGGCGAAGGCAGCUCGCUGGGACGGAACUGACGCUAAGGCGCGAAAGCGUGGGGAGCGAACAGG